rfam:Homo sapiens chromosome 10, GRCh38 reference primary assembly.
GCUGGGCGUGGUGGCGGGCGCCUGUAAUCUCAGCUACUUGGGAGGCUGAGGCAGGAGAAUCACUUGAACCCGGGAGGCUGAGGCUGCAGUGAGCAGAGAUCGCGCCACUGCACUCCAGCCUGGGCAACAGAGCGAAACUCUGUCUCAU